UGCAAGUCGAACGCGAAAGUUCCCUUCGGGGAGCGAGUAGAGUGGCGCACGGGUGAGUAACACGUAGGUAAUCUACCUUCGGAUGGGGAAUAACAACCGGAAACGGUUGCUAAUACCGCAUAAUGCAGCGGCACCUAAUGGUGACAGUUGUUAAAGCGGGGGAUCGCAAGACCUCGCGUCUGAAGAGGAGCCUGCGGCGGAUUAGCUAGUUGGUAAGGUAAUGGCUUACCAAGGCUACGAUCCGUAACCGGCCUGAGAGGGCGGUCGGUCACACUGACACUGACAUACGGGUCAGACUCCUACGGGAGGCAGCAGUCGGGAAUUUUGGGCAAUGGGCGAAAGCCUGACCCAGCAACGCCGCGUGAAGGAUGAAAUCCCUCGGGAUGUAAACUUCGCAAGAACGGGAAGAAUAAGCGAGAGUUAAUAUCUUUCGUGAUGACGGUACCGUUUGUAAGCUCCGGCUAACUCCGUGCCAGCAGCCGCGGUAAUACGGGGGGAGCAAGCGUUGUUCGGAUUUACUGGGCGUAAAGGGCGCGUAGGCGGUCAGCACAAGUCAGUUGUGAAAUCUCCGGGCUUAACUCGGAAAGGUCAACUGAUACUGUGCGACUAGAGUGCAGAAGGGGCAACUGGAAUUCUUGGUGUAGCGGUGAAAUGCGUAGAUAUCAAGAGGAACACCUGCGGCGAAGGCGGGUUG
rnacentral:rRNA from 1 species